GGAAACUUAGCAACUGUGUUGUAAGCGAAUCUGCAGCGCUUUUAUGUUUUUAAAGCUGUCUUCUAAAUUUACGCUGCUUCUAUUAUCUUUCCGCGCUUUUGUCAAUAUAUAUCGUGUGUCUUGUCAUUUGAUUGAAGUGUUUGAAGACUUUGCAGCGUGCUGGCACUAAUCGGCCACCGUAUCUUAGCAACCGCAUCAUAACAAUUUGAAUUUCAUUUAGAGUUUUGAUUUGAACAUUCAAAGCAGCUCAGAUUUUCAGUUUCCCAGCAAGAUAUACGACGCGAAAGAUGUCUGCCUUGAACGCGAGUGUCUACCUCCAGAGAAUCGACUCGUUCCUGCCAAAUGGGGCCGUCAGUGUCCGGAUUGCUCCGGAAGACAUCCCCGGUUCAGUCAGCCAUGGACGAACCAGUACCAGCAGUGGAGGCCGUCAGAAGAAAUGCCGCACUGGGCCACCGGCACCCAGCUCCCAAACCAUAUCUGGAUCUGCUCCCAUCCCGUUGGCGACCAGCAGGGCUCAGCAGGGCAGAAGACGCCGUAGAAAUACGGCGGGAGGCCGGUCAGGCCGUAGAAAGAAGUGUAAAAAACAGAAGGGGCCAUUUACAAAAAAUUUGCAGAACCUGCUAACCUUCAGUAACCCCUUUGAUUCAAUCCAGGUGGGUGACAAGAUCCCGUGUGUGGAUCUCACCCAGAGUGACGACGAGGUUGCUACCAUCCUGUGUCGCACUCCAUCAAUGUCAGAGCCUGAGCCCUGCUCACCAGCCUUCUCCUCCACUUCCUUCUUAUUUCCAUCACCAGUCCCAUCCUCUUUUGCCUCCUCUCCAUCCCCAUCUUUUUUUACAGACUCUCCUCCUCCGUCACCAUGUGUAGUCUCACCUGUAAGCCCAUCUCCACACCCAUCUUCACCUCCAGCCACAGUUCAUCCCACCCCUCUGUAUCAGGUUCCAGCGCAAGCUGCAGCCCCCUCAUCUGAGCUGGUUACGGGUCCGACACCCCUACUUAUUUCCCCUUCUGUUGUUUUUGAGAAAAUGGAAAGAUUCAAUAAGAUGCAUAACUUUUAUCUAUGCAACUAUUCUAAAAUGACCUAUGAUGCCAAGUGCCUUGCUCAUUACUGGUGUAAUCAGUUUUGGAAUGAUUUUCAACAUGCAGUUUACAUCUGCAAGCAGGGGAAGAAUCAAAAUUCAGAGAAUCACUACUCAUAUGGUGAUAAUGAGGGUGCCCAAGCUGAGCUGAUAUUUGAUGAUGAGGCGCUGGAUCAGCUAAGUGCCAUCCCCGGGGUCCUGGAGAUGGCUGUGGAGAUGGGCUAUCUUGUGUGAUGUAAAUAGUUUUUUUAUAGAACCUGUAAAUAAUUAGGUGAGAGAUCUCACAAGUACUUAGGAUAAGAUAAGAUUAAGGUAGUUUAACCUUAUCUUAACUAAUCCUAAGAUUGUAUGAUAUAAGAUUACAUAGGAUAAGACUAAGGAUAGCUUAAGAUAAGAUAGUAUAGAAUAAGAUAAGCCUAAGAUAGGAUAAGUUAAGGUUAAACUAAGAUAAUAUGACAUAAGAUUACAUAGAAUAAACUAAGAAUAGGUUAAGAUAAGAUUGUAUAUAACGUAAGAUAGUAUAGAAUAAGAUAAGACUAAGAUAGGAUAAGUUAAGGUUAAACUAAGAUAGUAUGACAUAAGAUUACAUAGGAUAAGACUAAGAAUAGGUUAAGAUAAGAUUGUAUAUAACGUAAGAUAGUAUAGAAUAAGGUAAGACUAAGAUAGGAUAAGUUAAGGUUAAAUUAAGAUAGUAUGACAAGAUUACAUAGGAUAAGACUAAGAAUAGUUUAAGAUAAGAUUGUAUAACAUAAGAUAACAUAGAAUAAGAUAAGACUAAGAUAGGGUAAGUUAAGAUAAGAUUAUAUAAUAUGCAAUAACACAGGAUAAGAUAAGAUAGGUUUGUCAGGGACUGUACUGUUCCUAUCCUGCCCUUCAUUCCCCAAAUGGGGGGGGCACGAGGUUAAUAUAAAGUUGUAUAAUUUUAGUUUUUAGUUUUCUUAUUCUUCUAUUUGUAUUAAAUAAAUAUGGAUUAUUUUGAGUA